AGUAGGCCAAUAGGCAAAUCAGAGAAUCACAAAUGGUAUCUGGUCAAGAAGAUUCCUGGUUAAAACUUUCAUCUCUCUGUUUCCUUUUUCUUUCUUUGUUGGAUUCAUUAAUUUGACAUAUCUCUAUCAUCACACUGAUUCUCUUUCUCCCAGUUUGUCUGCAGAUGCAUGUGUGUAAUCUAGGGUAUAUGUUUUUGUCCAUUUGGUUUCAUAAGGCAAUAAAGAUCCAGCUAUUUACUACUUGUGGUAUAGAUUUUGACUGUUGAAUUUUCAGAUCUGAUGUGUUUCGUUUGAUCCGAUUCGGAAAAUUUAUGUUUCGUUGACAUUUUGGAGUUUAGUUGGAAGAAGAGUGAGAGUCGCUGGAGGCAGCGGUUCAUCGAUCUCUUCCUGUGAACACAUUAAAAAUGUAAAAGCAUGAAUAGAUCGAUAAACCUCUGCAUCCAGCGUUUGCCUCUUGUAUCUUUCUUAUUGACUUGAAUCUUUUUGUUUAUUGGUUUUUGAAAGAAGAAAAAAGUGAGGGAAAACAGAGUCAAGUCCGAUUACUUUUCUGGGAAAGCUGAGGAUUUUGUGUUCUUAGAGAGCAGAUGAAGAGGUGACUGUUGUUUCUGGUGAGAUAGAAGUUGGCAUCUAAAUUUGCUUUCUCUGGACCAGUGAAAUCAAUUGCAGUCUCCUAUAUAUUGUAGUAGGCGAUGUAUCAGUGGUGAAGCGAGGAUGACAUCUGUGGGUACUUGUUCUUAAUCCUUCACUCUGAUAUCUAUGCUUUAGAAGCGUUUCAAGUUCAUGAAGCUGAUUUGAUGUUGAGUUUUUAACAACAAGAAUCAAUUCACUCCAAAAAUAUGUAAACUCUGCCAUGCCUUGAGCUGCUUUUUGGAUUAUCCACUGUUUUGUUUUGUGAUUAAGUUCAUUAUUUUCUACUAUAU
rnacentral:misc_RNA from 1 species